CUGGCUCGAAAGGCAACCCGUUUACUUUAUUGUUACGGAUGUAGAAUGAAGGAAGUCAGAAGCGUGAGGACUUAAUGCCAGCCGUUGCGUUACUUUGACUGCUGUGAAAACAACCAAAUAUUAACAUUUAUAUUUCCUGUAUAAGAUAGUGCUUUAUUAAAAUAGUCGAACACUGAUUGUUAAGCUGCCUUUUGAUCACACGCGUUAUCUCGUUCCCAAUGUUCAUUUGAGAGAAGCAUUGUUGUUUACAAGGCCUCGGAUAUCCGCGGUCGAAAUUAGCGAGCUACGCUAACGCAGCAAACAUCAUCCCGGGCAGGAACGCGGGGCCUAGGCGGGCUGUGGUAUUGGACCGCAGCAACGAGGAGCAUCCGGCCGUCCCAUGAUGGUGUGCGAGCUCUUCCUGCUGACCUCCAUCUGGUUUCUCUUUGUUAUCUUCUGGAUGGAGACCAUAAGUGUCUGGCUCUUCCUCUGCAAUUUCUACCAGGACCGAGCUUUUUAUCACUGGGGAGAUGGGGUCUUUGCUGAUGACCCAGGUCAAAUGCUGUACAUGCUAGGCAGGGUGGACGGGUCAGGGCGGAUGCACACCUGAGUCGGGAGAAGGAGGAGGAGGAGGAGGGCAGACUGGGAGGGGAGUGUCCCUGGGGCGGCUGCACGUAAAGGUGGAAGAAUGGGAGCUCACUGCCGCACACUGACUCGCAGGUGACCCUCGUCUGGCAGGGACAGGGACACUGUGUGGGACAGACUGGAUGGUCGGGCACAGAUUGCCCUGCACGGAACAGGACUAUGGGCCCAGCAGGUGCUGGGGGUGUGAGCGAUGCCCCACCCAUGUGUACACAGCCCCGCCUAUGCAUUCAUAGCCCCGACCAUGCUUACCCUGCUCCAUCCAUGUUUACACAGCCACCCGGUUUGAACUGGCUCACUUUUCCUUUCACAGUGCCUCAUGGGUAAUACCAGAAUGAAACACACGCAUCAGAAGUUGCAAAGGAGGGUUUAUACCCCGUGCAUUAGCAUUAAUGAAGAAAGGGAAAUAUGUGUUAAUUUUCUGUGGAUUUAGGAUUUCUUAAUAUCAGUUGACACUUGGGAAUUGAGUACUGAGGUUGGAGUUUUUGAUCAAAGAAUCAGUUGGAGAAUUUUUUUUUUUUUUUUCUAGGCUGGUAAAUAUUGACGGUCAUGCACAAUUUGUUUUUCAUAAAUUGUAUUGCUAUGGUUUUUUUUGUUUGCUUUGUCCUGGCUUAGUUCACCAUGGAUGUAAGAGUGCAUUACCCUGCUGUAAAUGAUGGGUAGGUAUCUAACAUAGCAUUUCUUAAACAUUUUCCUUCAUAUAACUUUCUGUGGAUUAUCACUGUGAAAGGUAUCAAUUCUGUGUUAUCGCAGUAACACUUUAGUUGGGUUAAAACUUAAAUAAUGCUGAUCUUCAUUUGGAGAAUAUGGUAUGCUGAUUUGGGAACGAGCUUUUACACUUCUCAGAGAAUUCCUUUUAGGUGCAAGCAGAUGAGGGUUUAUGAUUGGGAGUAACUGAGUGUGUAGGAGCUACGUUCUAGGGAUAGGCUCUGAAAGACAUUGUGAUGGGUAUGUGGUGAAUGUGAUCCUGCAGAGUGAAAAGAGACCUGCAGGAUCUAGUUUGGCCCGAUCACACUGAAACCAGAAUUGAGGAGAUGCCAGUUUGAUGCCGCAUUGUCCCCGGCUGGUUCCGGGUUUUCACCGCACAGGCUGAUAUAGAACUGUGAAACGCACAUAUGUGACUGUGCUCUGUUGUAAAGGCCUGGCAAAAACGAGACCCAUUGACAUUAAUGUAGGCAUCAAACAGCCAGCGUCCCUUACUGCACGUACUGAGGCUGCUCAUUUUCCAGUGAGGGUAAAAAAGGUUUAACUCGUCAUUGGAAGGUCAGCUGCCACUACGCAGUUGCUACAGUGGUCCACUGGCUUUGAAUUUAAAAACUGCUGCAGUGUGAUCCAAGUAAGAAUGUUUGCAAUACACUAAACGUACCUGGUUAAGUUGACAAUGAGAUUAACUUUACAUAUUUUGUCCAAGUUUGUUUUUUUCUGUUAGGUCUGUCAAAUGUUUUUACAGAUUUGUAUCUUGGUUUGUCACAGUGUUGGGCCCAAGAAGCCAAACUGUAUUUUUCCCGUAUUUUCCGAUGUAUGCUGUGAGGAAAGAAAAGCCAGGUAUCGCUUGGCAUGAGCAGUUUCAAGCAAAUUUGAAAAUAACAAAGUAGGCUGUCUCUAUUCAAUACAAAUUUUUCUGCAACAAAAUUUAAAAUCAAAAAUUACAUUUCAUUUGUUUUAGAACCAGUUUGAAUCUUUUUCUUUCAGACUGAGAUUUUGAAACACUUUCAUACUUUUUUAUUUGCCCCAAAGAAUAAAGAAGUUCUAUAAAUCUAUACAUAAUUCAGUGCAUGAAUACAUUUUUGUCGGUAGUACAUAUUUGUUCCUUUUGAUAUUUUUAGGGUAUGAAGCACCUGCACAAUGUUGGGGCUGUAUGGUCAUUGUGGGAAUGAUCUUGUAAUUGUAGCAUCAGCUAUCUCCAGGCAGCUCAUUGGUUCUUAGUCCUGGUUCUGGUGAAUCACUGUCAUCUUCUCGUUCUCCAUUUUGCACAGAAUUUAUUAUUGGUGAUGGAAAAUCUUAAUUUCUUAAUGUCUUAUUUUAUUUUGGAAUGAAACUAUUAUAGUAGAUCACCAAUCUGUGCACAAGUACAUACUUGGCACAAUAAAGUCAGUAAAAACACAUUCAUACUAAAUAAAUGCAAUUAAUGAGAUAAAAUAUCUGAUCAGUGUUUGUCAGAUCUUGUCAAAUUUUCUUGUUACAUAGUCUUGCUACUGUAACAGAAUUGAAAUAAAAGUUGAUUUUCAUUAA